GUUGAACGCUGGCGGCAUGCCUUACACAUGCAAGUCGAACGGUAACAGGUCUUCGGAUGCUGACGAGUGGCGAACGGGUGAGUAAUACAUCGGAACAUGCCUAGUAGUGGGGGAUAACUACUCGAAAGAGUGGCUAAUACCGCAUGAGAUCUACGGAUGAAAGCAGGGGAUCGCAAGACCUUGUGCUACUAGAGCGGCCGAUGGCAGAUUAGGUAGUUGGUGGGAUAAAAGCUUACCAAGCCGACGAUCUGUAGCUGGUCUGAGAGGACGAUCAGCCACACGUGGACUGAGACACGGCCCAGACUCCUACGGGAGGCAGCAGUGGGGAAUUUUGGACAAUGGGCGCAAGCCUGAUUCAGCAAUGCCGCGUGCAGGAUGAAGGCCUUCGGGUUGUAAACUGCUUUUGUACGGAACGAAAAGCCCUGGGUUAAUACCUGGGGCUCAUGACGGUACCGUAAGAAUAAGCACCGGCUAACUACGUGCCAGCCGCCGCCGUAA
rnacentral:rRNA from 1 species